rnacentral:rRNA from 1 species
UACGUAGGGGGCAAGCGUUGUCCGGAAUCAUUGGGCGUAAAGAGUGCGUAGGCGGUUUUCUAAGUUUGGUGUGAAAUCUCCCGGCUCAACUGGGGGGGUGCGCCGAAGACUGGAAGGCUUGAGUAUGGGAGAGGUAAGCGGAAUUCCUGGUGUAGCGGUGAAAUGCGUAGAUAUCAGGAGGAACACCUGCGGUGUAGACGGCUUACUGGACCAUAACUGACGCUGAGGCACGAAAGCGUGGGUAGCAAACAGG